rnacentral:rRNA from 1 species
AGAGUUUGAUCCUGGCUCAGGAUGAACGCUAGCGGCAGGCUUAAUACAUGCAAGUUGAGGGGCAGCAUGAUAUACGUAAGUAUAUUGAUGGCGACCGGCGGACGGGUGAGUAAAAGGUAGGAGACCUACCUCAUACAGGGGGAUAGCAUAGAGAAAUCUGUGGUAAUACCCCAUGAGGUUAUAUGAAUAGAGGCAUAUAAUCAAAGUAUACGAGAGUAUGCGGUAUGAGAUGGGCCUACUGACCAUUAGCUAGUUGGUGAGGUAAGGGCUCACCAAGGCGAAGAUGGUUAGGGGUUUUGAGAGAGAGAUCCCCCACAUUGGAACUGAGAUACGGUCCAGACUCCUACGGGAGGCAGCAGUAGGGAAUAUUGGGCAAUGGGCGAAAGCCUGACCCAGCCAUGCCGCGUGAAGGAAGACGGCCUUAUGGGUUGUAAACUUCUUUACUAUACGAAUAGAGGUUAGUACGAGUUACUAAUAGGAAGGUAGUAUAGCAAAAAGCACCGGCUAACUCCGUGCCAGCAGCCGCGGUAAUACGGAGGGUGCAAGCGUUAUUCGGAAUUACUGGGUUUAAAGGGUGCGUAGGCGGUUAUAUAAGUUGUCAGUGAAAGGCUACGGCUCAACUGUAGUAGUGCUGGCGAUACUGUAUAGCUAAGAACAUGGGAGGGGUACCUGGAAUGUGUGGUGUAGCGGUGAAAUGCAUAGAUAUCACACAGAACACCGGAGGCGAAGGCGGGGUACUAGACCAUAGUUGACGCUGAGGCACGAAAGCGUGGGGAGCAAACAGGAUUAGAUACCCUGGUAGUCCACGCCCUAAACGAUGAUCACUAGAUAUUGGCGACAUACAGUCAGUGUCUAAGCGAAAGUGAUAAGUGAUCCACCUGGGGAAUACGGCCGCAAGGUUAAAACUCAAAUGAAUUGACGG